rnacentral:rRNA from 1 species
GACGAACGCUGGCGGUGUGCUUAACACAUGCAAGUCGAGCGAGAACCACAGAAGGGGUAACCCUUCUGUGGGGAGAGCGGCGAACGGGUGAGUAACACGUGGGCAACCUGCCCCAGACACUGGGAUAACCCCGGGAAACCGGGGCUAAUACCGGAUACUCUCGGACCACCACAUGGCGGACCGAGGAAAGCCCCGGCGGUCUGGGAUGGGCCCGCGGCCUAUCAGCUUGUUGGCGGGGUAACGGCCCACCAAGGCUUCGACGGGUAGCUGGCGUGAGAGCGUGGCCAGCCACACUGGGACUGGGACACGGCCCAGACUCCUACGGGAGGCAGCAGUGGGGAAUCUUGCGCAAUGGGCGAAAGCCUGACGCAGCGACACCGCGUGAGGGAUGAAGGCCCUCGGGUUGUAAACCUCUUUCGGCGGGGACGAAGCCGCAAGGUGACGGUACCCGCAGAAGAAGCCCCGGCUAACUACGUGCCAGCCGCCGCCGUAAUAC